rnacentral:rRNA from 1 species
AUGAACGCUAGCGACAGGCCUAACACAUGCAAGUCAGGGGCAGCACAAGGAGCAAUCUGAGGUGGCGACCGGCGCACGGGUGAGUAACACGUAUGCAACCUGCCUGUAAGCGGGGAAUAACCCGUUGAAAGACGGACUAAUACCGCAUAAUACUAAAUUACUGCAUGGUAAUUUAUUUAAACAUUUAUGGCUUACAGAUGGGCAUGCGCAUGAUUAGCUAGUUGGAGAGGUAACGGCUCCCCAAGGCAACGAUCAUUAGGGGUUCUGAGAGGAAGGUCCCCACACUGGUACUGAGACACGGACCAGACUCCUACGGGAGGCAGCAGUGAGGAAUAUUGGUCAAUGGACGAGAGUCUGAACCAGCCAAGUCGCGUGCAGGAAGAAUGUCCUAAUGGAUUGUAAACUGCUUUUGCAGGGGAAUAAAGUGCAUCACGUGUGAUGUUUUGUAUGUACUCUGCGAAUAAGGAUCGGCUAACUCCGUGCCAGCAGCGGC